GUCACUGCCUAGUCCUUAACAGUCAC
rnacentral:piRNA from 1 species